rnacentral:lncRNA from 1 species
CCUCUGUCCAAAGAACUUUGAGAUGCUGCUGCCAUUUAUAAUGUCUUCAUCUACCUGAACUGUCAUCCUGCUUCCUUUUGUCAAACCAAGACCUGGAUUUUAUGAAUUCCUAUUUAGCACAAAUAAAAAGAAAAUGAAAUAUGCUAUGAAGAAAGAACUGCAAAAAGAAUUCUAAGGAAAGCUAGCAUUUGUGUUUUAAGGCUUACUGAGCACUUUCACAUACACUUACACCACCUCCCUAUGAAACAGACAAGAUUGUGCAUGCUUUAAACAUGAAGGAAAUGGGGCUUAAGCAGGUCUCUGGUAAUCAUGAAACUUUUAUGCUGAAAGGAAAUUUGGGGGUUCUCUAACUCAAAUUCUUCAUUUUACAAAUGGAGGAAUAGAGACUCAGAGAAAUUUAGUGUACCACCCAAACCCACACAAUUGGUCACAGCAUCAUGAUGAGCCACAAGUGUAAAUGCCAUUUCAGUAUACCAGCCUUGUAGGGAUCCUAGGGACAGGGGGAAUCUAGACCUUCUGGCACCCAGGCUGGGCUGGAUUCUUUCUGCCACUCAGCCUUGAGUCUCUUGAACACAAGUCAAAUAUUUGAGCCCAGUUCUGGUUCUCAUAGCCUCCCUGUAUCAGAUGAAUCAAUUUUAAGGUCCUGAAAUAAGAGAGACAGAAGGAGAUGGAGAGAAUUUAUAUGUUCAGAAAAUGUUCAUGGGGCAUUUUUAAGAAUCUCUUUCCUGGAGUAAAGAGUGUGGAGUGGAGUAUGUGAAGCAUAGCACAAAGAAGUACAUGCAAUAUUUUAAUAUAGUGCCAAGAGGUAUUGAAAGAAUAAUAUGGAUUUACUUCCCCAAUCAGGUUUCAAGGGGUUUUCUGGAUGCAUUUGUCUUUUGUGGGUUUUAUCCCCGGCCAUAUCACUCCUGCUACUUAAGGAUUUAGAAAAAGCUUAUUUAAGGUAGAAAAACUCCAGCAAGACAUCUUUCCCCAAAAAGCCCAUAAAUUUUUUCGACAUCUCCUAUACCUGGCCUGAGUUCUAAGCCUAUGCAAACUCUAGCUUCUCAGACUUUUGCAAUCAUGGUCCAAUCAACCCCAUGCUCUUCAGUGUUUCAUAUAACUGCCACACCCUACAUUUAAUUAUGAUUAGUUAUGCUCCUCCAAUUGCAUUGUAGGGGGCUUUAUUUGCAUUCUUCUGGAACACUGGGUCCUUGGCUAGGCUUCACACAUCUCAGACUUAACCUUCUCUUCUCCAAUGAGCCCUAAUCACACAUAACUACCAUUAUGCCCUCUUCCCCCCUCUGUGUUUGCACAGUUUCUGCUUGCCUCCUAAAUACCAUACACAGCUAGAGCCAUGGGAUAGAAAUGAGGGCCUUUUCCUGCUGGAACAUAAGAGAAAUAGAUGAACUGUGAUUAAGAGAGCCAGCUCUUCAAGGAAACAGAGAGAGAAGGGUGUAGAGGAGGCUUGAGAGGUAAAUACUAG